AGGGUUUGAUCCUGGCUCAGAACGAACGCUGGCGGCAGGCCUUAUACAUGCAAGUCGAGCGCAUCCUUCGGGAUGAGCGGCGGACGGGUGAGUAACGCGUGGGAAUGUGCCCUUCUCUACGGAAUAGCCACUGGAAACGGUGAGUAAUACCGUAUACGCCCUCAGGGGGAAAGAUUUAUCGGAGAAGGAUCAGCCCGCGUUAGAUUAGUUUGUUGGUGGGGUAAUGGCCUACCAAGACUUUGAUCAAUAGCUGAUUUGAGAGGAUGAUCAGCCACAUUGGGACUGAGACACGGCCCAAACUCCUACGGGAGGCAGCAGUGGGGAAUCUUGCACAAUGGAGGAAACUCUGAUGCAGCGAUGCCGCGUGAGUGAAGAAGGCCUUUGGGUUGUAAAGCUCUUUCGUCGGGGAAGAAAAUGACUGUACCCGAAUAAGAAGGUCCGGCUAACUUCGUGCCAGCAGCCGCGGUAAUACGAAGGGACCUAGCGUAGUUCGGAAUUACUGGGCUUAAAGAGUUCGUAGGUGGUUGAAAAAGUUGGUGGUGAAAUCCCAGAGCUUAACUCUGGAACUGCCAUCAAAACUUUUCAGCUAGAGUUUGAUAGAGGAAAGCAGAAUUUCUAGUGUAGAGGUGAAAUUCGUAGAUAUUAGAAAGAAUACCAAUUGCGAAGGCAGCUUUCUGGAUCAUUACUGACACUGAGGAACGAAAGCAUGGGUAGCGAAGAGGAUUAGAUACCCUCGUAGUCCAUGCUGUAAACGAUGUGUGUUAGACGUUGGAAAUUUAUUUUCAGUGUCGCAGCGAAAGCGAUAAACACACCGCCUGGGGAGUACGACCGCAAGGUUAAAACUCAAAUGAAUUGACGGGGACCCGCACAAGUAGUGGAGCAUGUGGUUUAAUUCGAAGAUACGCGCAGAACCUUACCAACACUUGACAUGUUCGUCGCGACUUUAAGAGAUUAAAGUUUUCGGUUCGGCCGGACGAAACACAGGUGCUGCAUGGCUGUCGUCAGCUCGUGUCGUGAGAUGUUGGGUUAAGUCCCGCAACGAGCGCAACCCUCACUUUUAGUUGCCAUCAUUUAGUUGGGCACUCUGAAAGAACUGCCAGUGAUAAGCUGGAGGAAGGUGGGGAUGACGUCAAGUCCUCAUGGCCCUUACGUGUUGGGCUACACACGUGCUACAAUGGUAUCUACAACAGGAAGCGAAACAGCGAUGUUGAGCAAAUCCUUAAAAGAUACCUCAGUUCGGAUUGCACUCUGCAACUCGAGUGCAUGAAGCUGGAAUUACUAGUAAUCGUGGAUCAGCGUGCCACGGUGAAUGCGUUCCCGGGUCUUGUACACACCGCCCGUCACACCAUGGGAGUUGGUUCUACCUUAAG
rnacentral:rRNA from 1 species